CUUCAUUCCGUGCACCGAAUGUUUUUGUAUAAAAAUAGGUAGGAAUGUUGUUCGGGAAAAGUGUGUUCUAAUUAGGUAUCGAUCCAACUAUCAAAAAGAUUAAAAUAAUAAUGGUAACUAAAUUUACAAGGAAAAUUUCAUAUACUCGAACACAAGAGAACACUGUUUUUGUGGUACUUAGAUGACCGGGAUAAACAGCAAAAUGAUGACCACUUUUACUUCAUCAGCAUCAACAUCUCCCACUGAGUAAUUGCCGCCUCGCAGCUUAGUGUUCAUUAAGCAUUUCCACAGUUAUUAACUGCGAUUUUUCUAAGCCAAGGAAGUCGAGACGAUUUCCAAACCGAAAAUUGCCUUGAAUAGCACUGGGAAUCGAACCCAGCCACUAUCAGUCUGGUUUUGCUUCGUAGCCGCGCAUCUAACCGCACGGCCAAGGAGGGCCCCAUGAUGUCUACUAUUAGAUUUGAAACAUAGAAUUCAGAUAGACACAGGCAAUGGCUGGGUGGACAACGAAUCUGUCCUAAAAGCCACGGAAAUGUUACAGACCGCUUUGAUAUAUCUUCCCCAUAUUGAGUUUA